rnacentral:lncRNA from 1 species
UAGUCAUUAUUGGCUCUUAACUAUGAAGGAAAGGAAACAGUUUUCCUCCAAAAUAUCCAGGUUGCAUCUAAAUAUUUUUUCUAAUAUUUUAUUUAUUUAAAGAUCAAAUUCUUAUCUGAAUCGUAGUGGAACUAGAGAUCAAAUCUCAAAUUAUCUGAUAUAAAUCUUCACGAAGGUCUGGAUAUGCGACCCUCUACUUCGCAUGCACGUCA